GUGGGGACUUGGGGCGUUGCCUAGUGUUGGUUGGGGAUACAGUGCAAGCCUUGGAUCCCAAAGCUGCUUGGAUGGAUUUUACCAAACUGUAGCAUACUCAGUGCUUAGGGCUGCGUUUACUGCUCUGCUCCCAGACCCUGCAAAAUUCUCCAUUAACGUCCUUCCGUUGCAUCCUCUACCCUCCCCAGCCAUCCGACCUUGGGACUAGGGAAACGUGGACUUGGUGGGCUAUUCUGCGCUGAAGAGGCAGCAACGAGGGCUCGGUGGUAUUGGUGUUGGUCCUAGUGGAAUUGUCAAGAGGAUGCUUUUGAAGUGGCCCAGCAUCUUGGAAGUUCACCAUGCUUGCUUUGCAAGAGAUUCCUGACGCUGCAGUGAAAGAGGUCCAGUCAUUCCAGAGAGAACUUCAGUUUCAGACAAGUCAUCAAAUCCAGAAAGCAAGGAAAAAUACCCUGAAAGACGACUGGCAAAUCUCGGUGAAAGAGUAGACGCACUUCAUGGAUUGGAGUGAAUCUUAGAGCACCUGACCUGAUGCCUGGAGGUACAGCAGCCAUCUUGUGACCAUAAGGAGGAAAUCAACGCAUUAAGAAGGGAAAAGCUAAGAAGAUACAGAGAGCAGGGACCACUGACAACAUGAUCAAGCCACUCUACCAGGCCUUAACUUCCUAUUCCCUGACUUCUUAUUGAAAGAGACAAUAAAACUUCUC
rnacentral:lncRNA from 1 species